GUGGAGCUGUCUCUUCAGGAUUGUUCUAAAGAUGAUUCCGAAUCGUGUUCUACCAAGAGUGCCAAGAAAAGUGAAGUUUCUUCGCCAGCUAAGGUUAAAUCUGCACCCUGUGUUACCACCUAUGAGGAAUCUUCUAGCAGGCCAAUUACAAUGCCUAUGAUCAAUGAUGUUUCCGUGACGGAGUUAGAAUCUCCAAAUACAUUGACUAAUGUAGAUGAUAGUCCACUAGCUCGUUCA
rnacentral:misc_RNA from 1 species